AGAAAGCCUCAGCAAAGACUAGUAAAACUAGUGUUUUUUCAUAACUUGGCUGGAAUCAUCGUAAUGACUCCCAGCAUGCAAUAAUAUUUUCCCCUUGGAGUUUGGAGAGCAAGAGUUAAGAGAGCUCAAAUCCUUUAUUAUUCUGGGCAGCUGUAAAGGAAAGUAUUUUGCAUUUGGUCAGGAGAAAUUACUUGAGCAUAUAUUUUAAAUUGAAAGCGUUCACAGAACCGAACUGAUCUAAAUUGAAAUUAUCAUGGUUGUUCACAAGCUUUAAAAUUUCCUUUAAUUUGAUCAAGGAGGAAGUGAAAUUAUUACUAUAUAAAAAAAAAAGUGUAACAACACUCCCCCCUUUCUGCUAUAUUUGCACUUUUUUAGGAGACUUAUUAUUGUGCUUUUUAUUUCUAGAAAGUGAACCAAACCCUUGUUUAAUUCAUGUAGUGAUCCAAAUAUUGCAACUGCAACGUUUUCUAUCAAAUUUCAGUGGAACAACUUUUGAGAUUAUGUAAACUGUCAAGAGUUAUUAGGCUUUCUGGUUUUCAGAGUGUUGGUAGCUGAGUUGUUGAAGCCUAAAGCUAAAGGGAACUUCUGCAUGUAGCGAUAGAGACAACAUUCAAAAAUACUUCUAGUCAAGAAAGAUACAAAAAGAGGGUAAGUGAACGAUACUAUAUAAUACCAAGAAUGUAAGAAACUUACCUUCUCUCUGAGAGAAUGAACACACAAGUGGUGGCUUAAACAGACAUUUAUUAUUUUGCUUUCUGCAUUUAAAUCAAGCACACACCUAAAUACUGCUUUUACUGAGACUUAAGCAUAUGGGUAUCUUCACUCAUGUUAGAGGCUGGGAACGUUGUCUAGAGCCACAGUAUGAAUGUGCUGCAUUCAGCGUUUGCAAAAAUGUACUGCUUUUCCUUCCAGCACUGAGUGAUCCUGGAGACGUAUUUAUUGCAUUCUACCGCAGCUUGAGUUUUCUUCUGAUCCCUGGAAUAGGAAACAUGGCCAUGAUGUUUAACUCCCGAACAAGACGCAGCAAAUGUGUUGCUGCUUGGGAAUGCGAUAUUCUUUAUCAAUACCAAAAAAAGGUCUUUUCUUUCAAAGCAAGAGCACAACAAAAGAAAGCCAAACCUGACCUCAUUUGUUGGUAGCAGUGUCGAGAUGAACUGCAGCUCUGACCUAUUUCUCCAGCGUUACAAUUAUCUGCUGUAAUGGUAGCAAGGAAGGGAUUCAGAUUCCACUAACGACAACUUUUGGAGCAGAACUGAACAGAAGAUACUGUCAUGGUUUGCCCCAAAAUGAGACUGAACAUUGUUGUUACACCGGAGGGAUGUUAAUUGAGAAUGGGCAGAAGAAGAGGAAGGUGGCUGUUCUUUGCUGUCUGAUAUGCAACCUGCCCGUUAUAGUUCAGGACUCCUCAUCUUGCUGAGCAGCUGAGACUGGAAAGGUGAUGAAGGAAAUGAUACAACUAGAGUCCCGUCUCCACAUCCCGAAGUAAAGAAGUGAUCUUAACAUCAUGGGGAGGACAUAUGCCUGUAGGUCAAGUAAAGAGAGUCUGAAGAACAACUAGAUCAACAAGGAAGCCACACAGAAGCAGAAACAGAAACCUGAAUCAAUAAUCAGUCAAGCCCAUCAAUUAUGCAACUCAUUUUGUACUGAUGUAAGUAGAUGCUUAAUUCUGAAGCAACUUGUACCUGGGGAAAAGGAGUGGAAGAGACUGUUACAUCCCCAUAGACAGCAGCUAACGCAGAGCAUGACAACAGUGAAGAGAUGGAGCACGCGAGAGAUGCAAAACCGCUGUCUAAAAGUCAGGAGCGGUGGAGAUAUCCAAAGAGAGGAGAAUAUGGACCUCAGGAGAAGAAAUUCUUUUAGAAGCAUAUACAUAUCUGAAUUUGACCCAUCUUUAUAUCAGGUGAGGGAUCUGAUCUAAAAGGACAUUUCUGUGACAAAGAGUGGAAAGUUGUCAUCAGGCCAUGGAGAAAUCUCUUCAAUUCCAUGUUGGAAUUCAGGAACAGAGGAAUGAAAGAUCAAACUAGCUCACAUGCUGCACCUCUUAAAGCAGCUUUUUUUUCAAAAAUAGAAAUAAUAUCUGAUCUCACCCUUAAAAAAAAACCAAAACAAAAAAAAACCAAAAACCCUUGUACAGAAAGUUAAAAAAAGUCCUGGAUCGGAUUCUGUGGUCAGUAGCUCAAGUGGCUUAGUAUGAUCAAAACUCCAGUCAAGUUUUUUUGGAAGAGUUCAGAUUCCUCCAUGUAUAUGCCUGUGCUGGAGCUGUUGCAGCAUGACAAACAGCCAGCCAGCAGCAGCCAACAUUAUGAGACAGCUGCCAUGGAGGGCAAUGACAGCCCACUGUGGGGUGGAAUUCCAGCUGAACCACAGCGCAUCGCCAUCGCUGGAGGAUUAAUUACAUUAUGUCAAGGUAAGCAUGAAACAUCAUAACAAAUUCUAGAUACUAUUUCAGAGAAAGAGACUUCAAAGAGUUCCUGGCUUCAGACCACCUUGGUCUAAGCUCUGUCUCUGGUAGCCUUCUAUAUGAGAUGCACGUAAGAUAGAUAGAUGAUACAUAUAUACAUACAUACAUACAUAUAUACAUACAUACAGGGCUUGCAGCACCAGUCCACGGUCUCUGACCAUCUCCUUGUGAGUCCAGAAAGGCAAACAGCAUUUGAACAGGCAGCAGCCUGGCAGCUAAUAAACAGCACAUUACGCUGCAUCUCAUAAAUCUCCAUGAAGUUCAUUUAUUCUUUUCUGAGAAUGAAUAACUAAUGUGAAGCCUCUUCUUGCCAGUUAUUGUAGCAGUACACAAAGUGAUUUAGAUGUGGAAGCUGCUAUUAAUAGCAGCAAACAAGCUACUAAUUGGGUGGUUAUAUAAUGGCAAUGUUAUGAAACCUAGUUUGGGUUUGACACCUUCUGUUUUCUAAAAACAACAUUAAAACCCCCAAACAAAUCUAUGGUUGGCAACAUGUAACAUGAAACAAAGUCUAAAUAAUUACUGAUCUUUCAAAACUCAAAUAGGAUUUAAAAGGGGGGGUGGGAUAUCAAUUCAUGUAUCUGAAUUCUGGCUGAAAUAAGCUGGAAGUGAAUCAUUCCACAGAUCUGCUGUUCUAAGGGCUAGUUUAAAGUGAUUUUCUGUAAUACCUGCCUUGCGAAUAGUGACCAAAAAAUCAAAGUGGCCUGUUUUGGUGAUUUGUGAAAUCUCUGAAUUUUUUUUUUCUAUUUAAAAAAAUGGGCUUUGAAUGAGUAUGAACAGAAUACAGUUUAAGGAGAAAGAAUGACCAGAAAUCUCUCUGUGACACACACUGAUGCAAAUCACGUACUAGGAUUAGGCACGGAACUCGACUUUUGUAAAUGACAAUACACACGUACCUAUGCAGUUUGACAUUUUUUAAGUAACUUGGGGGGAAAAAAAAAAAGAGGGAAAAAAAAAAAAAGAGAGAGAAAGAAAUGGGGUGACAUUUAACAAAUGUCCCCUGCCGUACAGAAGGGGAGAAUAUUGCACUCCAUUAGGAGAGAAGCUUUUAUCUGGGGUGGCCCUUUGCAGUGCCUCUGUGCUUGGUUAUUCUGCAGGCUGGGCCUCCCUAACGCCAUGUACAGCACAAGGAACUUCUCCUGAUGAAACCCAGCUAUUGUCCUCUAGCUGUGAGGUUAUUCUCCUUUUGAUACACCAAAUGCUGCAGAAUACAGAGUCUGUAAGCAGGAGGAUCCCUCCAGAGGUCUGUGGUUAUAUGUGUACAGUAAUAUUUAAAGAGAUGAAAAUUCUUGAUCAAGACCACACAGCUCCAGUGCCUCUUGGUUUAAUCUCUGCCCGUGAAGUUACCUCUCAACAUGCAUGGUGCCAGCAAUUGUUUGAUCAGCAUUACCUGUAACCUUUUGCUGCCAGGGUAAUCAAGGCUGCCACUCCAGAACUGCCUCCUUAAUGACGGAACCCAGGAUUCUCAGACAAGCAAUCUCAUGAACACUUCAGCUACCUACAAACACAUAAUAACCUCAUGUUUGCGCAGAAAAAGAUGUGAAGUUGCUUCCAGCUGAGCCACCUCUUACAUUUCCAGAGGCAAUGAGAGUGGGAGAAGCAGCGUGGGAGGGAAGCAGGGUGCGGUGGCAGCAUCAUGACCUGCACGUAAAGGAAUUUAUCCCCUGACACAGAGUGAGUAUAGCAGCAUGUGCUGUCCCGCAGGAGCCAGACACAGCCUACGUACACACAGCUAUAUGCAACCAUCGCAUGGAUUGCCUCCGUCAUCUGCAGCAGUUUUGCAACUGGUAGGAUAUUUUGGGUUAUUCUCUUUUUAAUUGCUUUUUAUCUGGCAACAGCUACUAUACUCAGGCACGCUGACUCCACAUUAUUUUCCACUCCUUGUCAUUUUAGAUUGUCUAGGUGAUGAUAAAAACCUUGACUUACCCAGCGCAGUGUUGGGAAGGGUUCAUACCAAUAAAGGAAAGGCUACUUCAGUUCCUUCAUUGUUAAAGCACCCAGAGGAAGCAGCUGAAGGGCUUACAGAGAUUGGAUGUACAACAUCCCAGCACCACAGUAAUUACAGCAAGCACGCCUAAAAAGCUGUGAUAACUUAGGAUUCAGCAACUGUUGAAAGGAACAAGACAUUGUAGAAACCAAGCAGGAAUUUGGGUGGUCCAGAUGUCUUCCACAUGUAUCCAGUUAAUUAUUGAGAACUAGAAUCUCUUGUCCAUUAUAUCUGUGUGUGUACAUCUAUAUCAGUAUGCAUAAAUAUAUAGAUAGAGAUAUAUUUAUGUUUAAACAAAUAUUUCCGGACUAUUAAUCUAUUCAUUAGAAUAUUUUGCAAUCACGAUGUGGCAAAUAAUACCAGAAUCUUCUCCUACAAUAAAGUAUGGGCAUGCUUUCCUACACCCACACAUCAGAUGAAAUGAUUUUUCUCUUGAAUGCAUCUUUUUGCUAAUAGUAUAGUUUUUCUGCAUUGUUACUGCUCUUCCUUAAUGUCACUUGCAUGAGAAGGAAGAGGGAUAUAGCAGUUCCUCUGAGAAGUAACGCUAUUUCAUGUUUCUGUUGUGGUAGUAUCGAAGGGUUCCAAUAGGGGACAAACUUACUUUGUCACCCAUCUCACUGUAGGACAGAGUUUAUCAGACCUGCAAAGUUCACCCAUACUCCUAUGAUUUCUUAAUUCUCGAUUACCUUGAAUUUAUACUGGUAUAAAUGUAUUCUUUUACAAUACCUCAAAAACUUUUAAAAUACUUUAAAUGCUGUCUAAAUCUUUCAAUGCUGUUUACAUCGUAAAUACCUUAAAAUAUUUGAAAGUUACCUUUAAAUGUUGUUUAAAUAUGGGAUUUUUUUUCCUAUGUCUGAUGUCAUUUUUUCCGCUCCGUUAGUGUUUUUUCCACUCUGCAUUGCAGCCUGCAGUGAUAGCACAUCGAGCUACAACUUCUCUCUGUAUGUACUACCGAACCCUGGUUUUCCCAGGGUAUGGCAAGCCAAGCCUUCUCGCUGGUGAAUGCAUGGAAUUAUUGUCUGUCUGUUGCCUAUUAGUAUCCGUUACCAUUUCCUGCUGGGUUUAUAUAUACUUCGUUUCAUGUGUCGAUCAUAUUUUAAUUGAUUUCUGGCAUUUUAUGGCCAAAAUUUAUGAGAGAGGUGAAUGGACCAGUGAUUUCCAACGAUAAUUUUGUAGCCAGGUUACUUGUUUGCACAGAGCGCGAGGGAGGUUGGUUGUGACACCGCUCAGAUGCUAUUUUGGGAACCUAGCUUACAGAGUGUUAAAAUCCCAGACUGUUCCUGGGCCGUCUGGUACUGUGGUUCAAAAGAAGGAACACUUAGCUAGGCCGUGACUACGGCUGGGACAGAAGAGCCUUCCAGGGUGAGUAAGCUAUUUAGGUGCUCUUUUCUCCUUUGUGGUACUUAGCAGUGGAAGAUGGAAUCACAGAGGAAAAACAUGAGCUGAAGGAAAGAUGGUUUUCCCAUGGAAGCUACUUCUCUGCAGGAUACCAUCCAGGAAAUACCAUUUUUUGUUUUCCUCUGGAUUUUACCAGGCAUUUUAUUUUAUUUUAUUUUAUUAUUUUAAUUUUAAUAAAUAGAAAGACAAUUCUGAAUCAGAAAGAUUCCCUAGAUAGAAGUCAGGAUAGGGAAGGAGCUUACCUCCAGUGUCAGCUGGAGGAGAUGGUGUUGAACAUCCACACAGUGUAAGUGAGGGGGGAAAACAGACUGUACACGAGUAAUUCCUGUUGAUCUUAAACUAUCAAGAUCUUGCAGUACAGACUGCGGCUAUCACUGCACUUCUGGUACUGUUCUGUGCCAAUAACCAGUACUAUGAGUGUGGUAAAAUGUAGUCAGGGAAGCAAAAAUAGAUAAAAUUAAGAUAGUUAAUUAAUUCUGGUGACUAAGGUGUUAAAUCUGUAUUUACAGACAAAAUAACUAGUAAAGGUAUACAUACAGCAUAGAUGAAAACAUUGCAUAUGUCUAAUCAUUACUUGGGGUAUGAAUCACACUAUAUUUCAUAAUAAUUACUAUAAAAAUAGCUACUUGAGCCAAAACUUAGAUACAAUUAAGGAGAUUAAUCUAAUUCAGCAGGUUUCCAUGCCCUGUAUUGGCCAUCAAUGUUGCUUGAAAUAAAAAUGAUAGUAGCACAUCCAUCAUAUUUCAAAGUUCCAAAAGAAAACUAGUGGUCCAAGUUUGAAAAAAUCUAUCUUCUUAUUUAGACAAGUUAUUUAGUGCCAACACAUUGAAAGGAAGAUGGUGCUGCAAAGCUGAUACAGACCCAGGCUGAGUUAAAGUUCCUUCCUGCAACGCAGUAUUUCCGAAAGCUACUUGAAACAGCUUUGUUCGCUGGAAUAACGGAACCAAGGGGUGUCCAUCCCACCUGAACCUGGUGAGCCACAGCCUCUGAGCACUCAGAUGGUGCUGUGCAGGUACGUAUGUGCCCUGAGACAGUAGCUGUUGGAUCCGGUUACUGGUUUAUUGUUUGCUCUUUCCAAACAGUCUUCUAAUAAAGCUGCCCGUUAAUCCUGGCUGCAGCAGAGCUCAUGUAUGGCAUUGACUUCAGGUUAAAGUCACCCUUUUUUUGCUCCAUCCAACGAAGGGCCGCUGCACGGGAGCUGCUCUUGUCCCUCCCGGCAUGGACUGUGUUUGAAUGGCUGUAAGGGAAGGGCCUGCCUGCCUUCACUCCUUCCAUGAACUGCCCACGCUGCUUCGGAAUAGCAAAGGUGAGCAGAAAAAAGGAUACUGAAAUUGCUGAUUGUGCCCCUAGCCUGGGGAUUCUCUCAUUUGGUCAAAUGUCCCACUGUGAAAUGUCUCUCUGCAUUUCAGGCAAGGGGAUGGUGAAAGGCUAGGCUGGAGAAGACACUGGCCCACAGUUGAACCAAAUGUCAGAAAGACACAAACUCUUUGCACUUCAAUGUAUAUCCAGAGGGAACGUAAGCAGAGAGCUGACAGGUUCCUCUUUAAUUCCCUCAAUAAACAGAGAACAGUAAAGAGCUUUAUAGUAGCCCUUUGUACUGUAAAAGCAAGGAAAACAAGCGACAGGACAAGAGGGAACGGCCCCAGGCUGCGCCAGGGCAGGUUUAGGCUGGAUAUCAGGGAAAAAUGUCUUCAGGGAAAGGGUGGCCCGGCACGGGCACAGGCUGCCCGGGGAGGGGGCGGCAUCACCAUCCCUGGAGUAUUUACAAGACGUGUAAAUGCAGCAUUUAGGGACACAGUUUAGUGGUGGGCCUGGCAGUGCUGGGUUAGUGGUUUAACUUGAUCUCAAAGGUCUUUUCCAACUGAAAUGAUGCUGUGAUUCUAUGUUACAUAGAACUGAAACACUGCGGUCACAUUCACAGCUGUGCCUUUAUCAAGAUCUUUUGCACUACAACAACACACGUUCUGUGGAGCUCAAGAUAACAUGGUAAAGGAAAUGUUGGGAAAUGCUAGCACUCUUGCAAAUGAUUAAAACAAAAACAAAAAGGAAGAAAAAAGGGGUUUCUUGUAUUACCGAUGUACAUUUUGCAAAGCAAUUCCACUUGAAAAGAAACCAAAACUUCCCUUAUUCAAAUAGUUUUGCUCCAGUGAACUGAUUUAGACAAUUUGCACUUUAUUCAAGGAAUUGCUUUUACUUGAUAUUUUUUGGCCAGUAAAUAAGAAUGUAUUUUUCCUCUGAGUAUUCUGGAGUACGCUGAGUGUAAUUGGGAAGACGUAAGAAAUGGCAUUGUGACAAAGUUACUACCCCACAGGCUAGCUGUUUGGAAGUUGUACAUCUCUUUGUUCUUAUUUCCUGUCAUUUUUCUCUUACUAUUAGCACUCCCUGCUGUCUAGGUCAUGAAAUCAGUUUCUGCGUUUCUCCUCUACUUAAAUGUAAAGCCUCCCCGAGUCUUACAACUGUGUUUUUCUCAGAAGUCAGCCUUCUUCCCAGUCAACACUAGUGUCUUGACACUAGCCUGUGCUCUGGUUCUUUCAAGACCUUUCCCUUUUCUGACCAAACCUUUUCUCCCCUCUUUGGUUCAAUCUGUCCAAACUAUUGCCAUCAAAAUAUUUCCCUUUUCUCACCACUCUGAGAAUGCUCCCCUCCUUCUAAAAUCUCAGCAUUGACUUAUUUCCCCCUUAAAAUUCAAGUCUGCCUCUUUUCUCAGCUCCGUUACUGCUUGGUUCUGAUCUCUGCUCCUCUUGGAAAGCCUUUUCAUCUCCAGUGCUGGGAAUGCCUGUGUUUGGGAAGCAGGGGACGUUGUUAUUAAUUUCCUUCUUAAACUUUCCUCAUCAAAAGGAUGUUCUGAAUCUAAAAUGUACGCAGAUGACAUUACUUUGAGUCUUCUCCCUCAUUAGUUGUAGGAAAUGCCUGAAAAUAUUUACAAAACAAUCACCAAAAAGCAUUCAGAAUGCAGAUUCAGCACAACUUAAAUGCAUGCUAUUUCUACUACCUUUCUAAUAUUUAUAUAUUUUUCUACAUUUCUACUAUAAAUGAAGAGAUGUCUUAAAUUGUUAUUAUAUAUCCUUGGCUUUCAGUCCCUGGUUAGACCAGCCAGGGUUUGCUCCUUGUCAUAACUGGUGAUAAUAUCGAGCAGGCUUUUGGGUGACUUAGGAAUAACUGAAGCACAUCGCAUUAUUCCCAUUCCUUUUCACUGCCUCUCCCUGUCCUAGUUGUUACAGGAGCUGUGACACUGGAUUCAUAAGCCCAGCACACAGUCACACUGGGUUUGUAGCAUUCUGGAGUUGUGUGUCUUCUCGGUGGCUUUGUGGAGCUUGUGUAAGGCAAGGGGAGCACAGCAGACAAGUGAAUGCAGGCUCCUGUGUUUUCUACUUUAGUAGACCUGUGAGCUUCUAUCGAGUAUGUUAGCCAAGAUCAUAGUUAAUUCACAGUCUUGAUGAUACUGAAGUUUUCAUAGCCAGAAUUUCCAGAUGCAUAUACUUCUCUUGAAUUUACAUGACAAGGUAACAUUAAAAUGAGACCUCUUACCACGCCAGAGAAAUGCAUGUAUUUCUCAGAGUCUGUCACCACUGAACCAGAAGUAACUAACCGCUGGGAACUCUGGAAGGAGAUAUAUUUAUCUUUUCUGAGUCAUCCGAUCAUACAGGGCUCAAGGCUGGUGCUAAAACUUCCAGAAACAUUUGGAAAGCAACCACAGAAGUCCAUCAGUCAAAGAGCCCCCUCGAAGAGUGGCAGAAGGAAGCUAGAGAGGUGCGUCGGAGCCAGCACUCCGCUGUCAGGAUGUCCCUUCUCCACUCCUUCGGCUCCUGUCACACAUGCCACCUUCUCUGGCAUACCACCUCCUAAAUCAGGGGGCUUUUUGCUCACACUUCGUGGGCCUGACCCCUCCUGAAACUCCACAAGUUAGGUUGCAAUGACCCUAAAGCUGCGUCUCACUUUAAUGCUUGAUCUGCUUAUUUUUGUCAAUGCUAGUUUCCCUGAAGUAGUUCAACUGCUCCUACAUGUGAAAUGAGCAUUGUGGGGAACAGAUCUAUACCCCUGUCCAGACAAGAUUUCAUGAGCAGUUUUCCAAAAGUAACUUUAUUUUCUGGAGUCUGAUCAGGUGAGUUUUGUUGGUUUUCUUCCUUUACCUUUCCUUGGCAGGAGCUUUGUCAACGUGAUGAAUCUCCCUGGCAUCUUACCUAAGGCUGAUUCUUCCAUGUUGGAGAUCUCUUUCCCAUUUCUCCUCAAAGGAGAGUGGGGAGGAAUUUAAUGAGGUCUGGGUCUAUAUGAGUUCCAGAGAAAUUUGUAACAGUUAUGUCUGUAUUUGUCACAUCUGUACUUCAGACCAGAGCAGUUUUUUGUUAAUGUUGGCAGCUCUGAACAAAGAAAGUCUUAAAAUUUAUUAAAUGUAAACUAUGUUAGCCAGCUGAUGGGGAGGAAAAUCCAGACCACUUUCAUGGCACCUUGGAAUCAUUCAAUUUUAAUUCUUGAAAUUAACAUCAAAGAUAUUUUUGCUGUAUGGAAAAUUUUCAUAAUUUGAUUUCUUUUUUUAUGCUUAUCUGUUCGUCACUGUACUGGCUAACUGCAGCCUACCUGUGCCUAUGUGUGCGCACCCCAAGGUAUAGUUUCCUCUUGUUGUACAUAGCAAAUACAGAUAAGAAGUUUACAGCCUAGGGAGGUCUUACAGAAUUCAGUCUGGGGGCUCUUGUGGCUCUAGUGCCCAGGAAAAAAAAAAGCGUAGUCUGGGAAAAUCUUUUUGGUCUUCUCCUACGAAAUGACUUUUGAGGUUGAGCAGUAAUCUUGGCAGACUGUAAGCUAGCGUGCCUGCCUAAGGAUAUUUACAGCUCACCUUGUCUGAGCUGUUACCUUUAUCAUGUCCACCAGGUGAUCUGCUGAAAAAAGAAUCCCAUUACCUUUAGUAGCUGCUGGAAUGAGUCCUUAGUCAGCUCAGAGUAAGGUUGACCAGUAACCACUGGUCUUCCCUUAGAUCUGAAGACUCAAAAUGUUAUUGCUUAGAGCAGUGAUGUUUGCCGACUUUGUCACUGAAUCCUGAAUUUGGCAUCCCAUUGACAUGGUUUCAGUCAGUAAGUGCCUAAAACAGCAGCCUUCCGCAUGCUUUUCUGGGCUAUGCUCUUCCCUCUCACCUUCCAGUCUUUGCUCCAUCCACAAAUUCAUUCACAGCUUGAAUAUUUUUUUUAAAUAAUAUCUAUCAUUCAAAUCGAUUAUGCAAGUCACUGGCAAAAGGUAUAAUCGUUGCAGUGUUGCUGACUCCACUACUUGCUUGUAAGAAGCUGCUGUGUAAAUAUUGUAGUAUUUUGUUUGGUAGGAAUUAAUACAAAUCACUCAGCUCAAAAUUAAAGCAAAACCAGGACAAGCGUAUUAAAAAAUCGCUCUCUUCAAAAGCAUUAUUUUAAAGGAACAUUCUUAAUUAAAAAUACCUUCAAAUAAAAAAGAAGGAAAAUGUUUUACUUAAAAUUCUGAGAUGAAACUUGGAUCUUAUUAGAGCAUUUCUGUUUCCUUUCCAAUGCAAACAAAUUAAAACAUCUCAGUUUUGCUAAGCCUGUAUUUUUGUCCCUGGCAUGCACACACAAAAAGCUUAAACACCCCCCACCCCCCCCCCCAAACGCAUGAAUUUUUCACCUAGUUCUCCCUGUAAUGCUUCUAGAGGUAGGAGUUAAAUGGCCAGCAAUGCCUUCUAGUCUGUCAAGGGUAAUGCUUUUUUAGGCCAGAGAGGUUUUGUUCUCCUGCAUACCAAGAGCGUGACAGAAUCACUGAGCUAUCAAAUCAGUUAUUCUGCCAACAUCUUUCUGGUUCACUGAAGAGUAAAUUAAUCCUACGUAAGAGUGCUCCAUCAGGAGAGUAAGAGCAAGCACACACACUGCCAUAGUCAGGUAGUAAGGUGCUUGCCAGAAGUGUAAAUAAUGGAUAAAUAAUUAAUUUUCUUUGGGGAACCAUCAAGGAUCUACUUCUCUGAGUGCUUAUGCAGACAUGGUGGAACAACUGCAGCAAGGGACUGAGCAAGAGAACUUCUCCAUGGAAAGAAAACAAGCCCUAGGGCAGGUUGCUCAGCAGCUCCACCACUGCUCUUAUGUCUCACUGGAGACAUGGGGUGUCUGGGAAUGGCACCGGUUUCUGGCAUUAGCACUGAGCAGGAGGUGUUUGGGAGGAGCUGCUCCAGCACGAGACGUUAGGACACACCUUAGGUCACCAUCAUCCACUUGGGAAUGAGAAGCUGCAAGGACUGAGUCUCUGGCAUGCCGACUAGGUGGUGUUACCAGUGCUUCUGGUGUCAUGCACCCACACCCCACCCCACCCCUCCAUCCCCAGCUUUACUUAGGAAAGUCCAGCAGUUCCAAUGAGCAAACAAAAGAGAGGGACAGUGUAUGGUGCAACAGAUAACCCAGUACUGGCCUGAAAUCUGUUGCCUCCAGUUCAAACUGUUACAAUGAACUGUAAGCCCAUGUUGCCUUCUGUGUGAUUUCUCACAGUUGAUCCUUCUUUUAUCCUGUUCUUACAUCUUUCAUUGUUUCCACAUACCUGUUUGAUCUUUCAUUGACUAACCUCUCUCCAUUUUUCCUGCUGUCUUCAGAUGCUCGUUUUUCUAUUGAAAAACAUUCACAUUGAUUAUUUCUGUUUCUGAGCCCAACAACUGUUUUACUUUCUUUCAAUUUCCCUUUACUUACUCCUUUUCUUGAGAAAAAGUUUUCUCCCUUUGUUCCCUGCCUUCUUCAUUUGUUAUGUUUCUGUUAUUCUCCAUUCCAGUUACAAAACUCAUUUACUCUCUGUCUCUCUUCUCAUCUCACUACACAAGCCCCGUAACUUCAGCAGCCCCAGGUUUGUCGGUCUAAUUUCCCCUUUCCAUCUGCUGUCUAACACCUCUCCCUUCCUCCCACACAGCACUCUUUUCCCUUUCUGUUUCUGGUUUGACAUCUCUCCUCUGACUUCUCCAUUGUACUCCUCCCCACCGCUCUCCCUGCUGAUGGUGCCAGCAGAAACGUUUAGCGUUGGUGCAUUACCCCAUAGAUCUCCACUUCCUUCCCCUCCCUGAUGCUCCUUAGACCAAGCCCACGACCCCCUCGUCCGGUUCAGGCAUGCUUGCCAUGCAUUAUCAGCGCAAGCCUCCAUGGAAAAACAACAGUACUUUGAACAUGCUGUGAAGGAGGCAUUUGGAUCACACUUUAAAUCAACAAGAUGGGGGUAUUUUAUUGAUCACAUUGCAGUUUUUCAGCUUUACUGCAGUGAUGUACCUGUAAUUGCUCCAGUGUUUUUGAUCAGUUGCCCCAAGGCAAUAAGCGCUUUGCCACAAGAAUAUGUGUGACCUUGGGAAGGCCCAAGGAUUUCUGUUCAAGACCGUCUGGUCGUAAAGCAAGUAUUUAUCGAAAUCUAAGAUUACUCAGGUUUUCAGGCCAUUUUCUGUCUAGACCUCUGCUGCAAAUGGCUGUUGCAUUUGCUCACAAACUAAAUAGACAAUAUUCCUAGCAGUACUCAUAAUGAGAAGUCUACAUGAGUGACCUUUUGAAAACUCUUGACUCCUUCAAAAUGUAAGCAAAUUGAAAAUAUCUAUUUGCAAGACCAGAAAUAAAAUGAAAACCUCACUUUGGCUAUCUAAAAAUAAAGCCAUAUAAAGCAAAGACCUUGCUGGAUAGCAAACUCUUAAAAUAAAUACAAUUUCCUUUGCCACAAUAAAUGUUGUUUCAGAUUCUGAAGUUGAAUACAUAACUCAUUCCACUGAGCUGUAACAUUUUGUUAAACUGCAGGAACUUCAGAGGAACAGCUCUUCAGUUUCAUAAAGACUUGCACUGCCUGCUGCUCUCUUAAAUAAAACACUUCUGGGGAAAUGUGCCCCAGGAUGGUUUUGAAGCCUUUUUUUAGUUCAUUAUUGAGAUCUGACUUUCUGCAUCCAUUAGAUCAGGGGUCCUCAAACUUUUUAACCAGGGGGCCGGCGUGCGGAUGAAGUGGCAGGCAGUCAUCUGCGGCUGCUUGGUUCCCCGCCCCAGCCCCCGGCAGGGGGGGGGCGGGGGGGGGUCUGUAAAUACCGGGGGCCGGAUUGAGGACCCUGGGGGGCCGUAUCCAGCCCACAAGCCCUAGUUUGAUGAUCCCUGCACUAGAUCAACCACAGAUUAAUUGUUUCUGUGGCCUUAAUAGAAACGUGAAGGUCUAACCAGCUUUUAGAAGUUAACCUAGCAGGCCAGGUCCUUGGCUGCCAUUCUGGCUGCUUUGGUCUGCUCAGGAAGAAUUUGGAAAAUGUAUGGAGUGCUUAAACGGCAGCUACAAAUUGUGGUUUUGUUUCAGCUCAAGAGUGAACUACAUUUAAGAGAUGAUUGUGGUAAAAAGAAAAAAAAACUCUAAACUGAAGUGUUUCCAAGCUAUUUAUCACUUCCCUAGUGUCUCUCCUUGUGGAAAUUCUCCAAGACUUACGAUACUGAUCUUGUAAACAGUUAUUUUCUAUUUUCUUUCCUUAGCUCCUGUAAUAAAAGUCAUGCUUGAUAUUUCUGUCAGAACUCCUUGGCCCUUCUUGGAC